GGACGGAGGGCAACCCCAGGCAGGGGCAGGGUGCCUCCCCGACAGCUGUUCCUUCCCCAAUCCCAACUGCAAGGACACCACAAGCAACAAAGCAGCCAGAUUCGCCUCCUCCAACAAAGGCUGAGUCCAGUUUCUCCCCUACCGCACACACCACUCCUGCACGAUUCCAACCCAUCAUCAUCUGUUUCCUCCUCCUGGGCUUACUGAAGGUUCUCCUCUGCCUGUGCAUAGUCUGUGCUGUGAUCUGGAUGCGCGUACGCUACAGGAAGAGCCACGGGGAAGAUGGUGCCAGAUAGAGAAGCUCAUGAACUGCCUCUUUGCUAGCUCUUAGAAAUGGAUUGGAACCAGCAGAAGGAGGAUUCUUUUCCAGCUUUGUGCAAAUUAUCCCACACGAUGGGCCUGAUUUUCUUCUCAUGCCCAGUGAAGCUAUUUCUCCUUCCCCCCUG
rnacentral:lncRNA from 1 species